rnacentral:rRNA from 1 species
GGCUGCAGUGGGGAAUAUUGCACAAUGGGGGAAACCCUGAUGCAGCGACGCCGCGUGAGCGAUGAAGUAUUUCGGUAUGUAAAGCUCUAUCAGCAGGGAAGAAAAUGACGGUACCUGACUAAGAAGCACCGGCUAAAUACGUGCCAGCAGCCGCGGUAAUACGUAUGGUGCAAGCGUUAUCCGGAUUUACUGGGUGUAAAGGGAGCGUAGACGGUGUGGCAAGUCUGAUGUGAAAGGCAUGGGCUCAACCUGUGGACUGCAUUGGAAACUGUCAUACUUGAGUGCCGGAGGGGUAAGCGGAAUUCCUAGUGUAGCGGUGAAAUGCGUAGAUAUUAGGAGGAACACCAGUGGCGAAGGCGGCUUACUGGACGGUAACUGACGUUGAGGCUCGAAAGCGUGGGGAGCAAACAGGAUUAGAUACCCUUGUAGUC